GAUAAACGCUAGCUACAGGCUUAACACAUGCAAGUCGAGGGGAAACGACAUCGAAAGCUUGCUUUUGAUGGGCGUCGACCGGCGCACGGGUGAGUAACGCGUAUCCAACCUGCCCAUCACUUGGGAAUAACCUUGCGAAAGUAAGACUAAUACCCAAUGAUAUCCCACGAAGGCAUCGGAAUGGGAUUAAAGAUUUAUCGGUGAUGGAUGGGGAUGCGUCUGAUUAGCUUGUUGGCGGGGUAACGGCCCACCAAGGCAACGAUCAGUAGGGGUUCUGAGAGGAAGGUCCCCCACAUUGGAACUGAGACACGGUCCAAACUCCUACGGGAGGCAGCAGUGAGGAAUAUUGGUCAAUGGGCGAGAGCCUGAACCAGCCAAGUAGCGUGCAGGAAGACGGCCCUAUGGGUUGUAAACUGCUUUUAUAAGGGAAUAAAGUGGGUCACGUGUGACUUUUUGCAUGUACCUUAUGAAUAAGGACCGGCUAAUUCCGUG
rnacentral:rRNA from 1 species